rnacentral:rRNA from 3 species
ACUUAGUGGCGAACGGGUGAGUAACACGUAGAUAACCUGCCUGUAUGACCGGGAUAACAGUUGGAAACGACUGCUAAUACCGGAUAGGCAGAGAGGAGGCAUCUCUUCUCUGUUAAAGUUGGGAUACAACGCAAACAGAUGGAUCUGCGGUGCAUUAGCUAGUUGGUGAGGUAACGGCCCACCAAGGCGAUGAUGCAUAGCCGGCCUGAGAGGGCGAACGGCCACAUUGGGACUGAGACACGGCCCAAACUCCUACGGGAGGCAGCAGUAGGGAAUUUUCGGCAAUGGGGGAAACCCUGACCGAGCAAUGCCGCGUGAGUGAAGACGGCCUUCGGGUUGUAAAGCUCUGUUGUAAGGGAAGAACGGCAUAGAGAGGGAAUGCUCUAUGAGUGACGGUACCUUACCAGAAAGCCACGGCUAACUACGUGCCAGCAGCCGCGGUAAUACGUAGGUGGCAAGCGUUAUCCGGAAUUAUUGGGCGUAAAGGGUGCGUAGGCGGCGAGAUAAGUCUGAGGUAAAAGCCCGUGGCUCAACCACGGUAAGCCUUGGAAACUGUCUGGCUGGAGUGCAGGAGAGGACAAUGGAAUUCCAUGUGUAGCGGUAAAAUGCGUAGAUAUAUGGAGGAACACCAGUGGCGAAGGCGGUUGUCUGGCCUGUAACUGACGCUGAAGCACGAAAGCGUGGGGAGCAAAUAGGAUUAGAUACCCUAGUAGUCCACGCCGUAAACGAUGAGAACUAAGUGUUGGGGAAACUCAGUGCUGCAGUUAACGCAAUANGUUCUCCGCCUGGGGGAGUAUGCACGCAAGUGUGAAACUCAAAGGAAUUGACGGGGGCCCGCACAAGCGGUGGAGUAUGUGGUUUAAUUCGACGCAACGCGAAGAACCUUACCNNGNCNUGACAUGGUAUCAANNNCCUAGAGAUAGGGAGAUAGUUAU